rnacentral:rRNA from 1 species
GUGGGGGAAUAACUUCGGGAAACCGAGGCUAAUACCGCAUAAUACCCACGGGUCAAAGGAGCAAUUCGCUUGAGGAGGAGGUCGCGGCCGAUUAGUUAGUUGGCGGGGUAAUGGCCCCACCAAGACGGUGAUCGGUAUCCGGCCUGAGAGGGCGCACGGACACACUGGAACUGAAACACGGUCCAGACUCCUACGGGAGGCAGCAGUGGGGAAUUUUGCGCAAUGGGGGAAACCCUGACGCAGCAACGCCGCGUGGAGGAUGAAGUCUCUUGGGACGUAAACUCCUUUCGAUCGGGACGAUUAUGACGGUACCGGAAGAAGAAGCCCCGGCUAACUUCGUG